CCCUUAGAGUUUGAUCAUGGCUCAGAUUGAACGCUGGCGGCAGGCCUAACACAUGCAAGUCGAGCGGAAACGAUCCUAGCUUGCUAGGAGGCGUCGAGCGGCGGACGGGUGAGUAACGCGUGAGAAUCUACCCAUGAGUGGGGGACAACCCGGGGAAACUCGGGCUAAUACCGCAUACGCCCUACGGGGUAAAGCAGGGGACCUUCGGGCCUUGCGCUGAUGGAUGAGCUCGCGUCGGAUUAGCUUGUUGGUGAGGUAAAGGCUCACCAAGGCGACGAUCCGUAGCUGGUCUGAGAGGAUGAUCAGCCACACCGGGACUGAGACACGGCCCGGACUCCUACGGGAGGCAGCAGUGGGGAAUCUUGGACAAUGGGGGCAACCCUGAUCCAGCCAUGCCGCGUGUGUGAAGAAGGCCUUCGGGUUGUAAAGCACUUUCAGCAGGGAGGAAGGCUUACCCCUAAUACGGGUGAGUACUUGACGUUACCUGCAGAAGAAGCACCGGCUAAUUUCGUGCCAGCAGCCGCGGUAAUACGAAAGGUGCAAGCGUUAAUCGGAAUUACUGGGCGUAAAGCGCGCGUAGGCGGUGUGUUAAGUCGGAUGUGAAAGCCCAGGGCUCAACCUUGGAAUUGCAUCCGAUACUGGCACGCUAGAGUGCAGUAGAGGGAGGUGGAAUUUCCGGUGUAGCGGUGAAAUGCGUAGAGAUCGGAAGGAACACCAGUGGCGAAGGCGGCCUCCUGGA
rnacentral:rRNA from 1 species